rnacentral:rRNA from 1 species
GACGAAGGAUGCAAGCGUUAUCCGGAUUCAUUGGGUUAAAGGUGCGUAGGUGGUCUGUAAGUCAGUGGUGAAAUCUCCGAGCUUAACUCGGAAACUGCCAUUGAUACUAUAGGUCUUGAAUUAUCUGGAGGUAAGCGGAAUAUGUCAUGUAGCGGUGAAAUGCUUAGAUAUGACAUAGAACACCAAUUGCGAAGCAGCUUACUACGGAUUGAUUGACACUGAGGCACGAAAGCGUGGGAUCAAACAGG